rnacentral:rRNA from 1 species
AUUAACAGGAUUAGAUACCCUGGUAGUCCACGCCGUAAACGAUGUCGACUUGGAGGCUGUGGUCUUGAACCGUGGCUUCCGGAGCUAACGCGUUAAGUCGACCGCCUGGGGAGUACGGCCGCAAGGUUAAAACUCAAAUGAAUUGACGGGGGCCCGCACAAGCGGUGGAGCAUGUGGUUUAAUUCGAUGCAACGCGAAGAACCUUACCUACUCUUGACAUCCAGAGAAGACUGUAGAGAUACGGUUGGGCCUUCGGGAGCUCUGAGACAGGUGCUGCAUGGCUGUCGUCAGCUCGUGUUGUGAAAUGUUGGGUUAAGUCCCGCAACGAGCGCAACCCUUAUCCUUUGUUGCCAGCGAUACGGUCGGGAACUCAAAGGAGACUGCCGGUGAUAAACCGGAGGAAGGUGGGGAUGACGUCAAGUCAUCAUGGCCCUUACGAGUAGGGCUACACACGUGCUACAAUGGCGCAUACAAAGAGAAGCGAGCCUGCGAGGGUGAGCAGACCUCAUAAAGUGCGUCGUAGUCCGGAUUGGAGUCUGCGACUCGACUCCAUGAAGUCGGAAUCGCUAGUAAUCGUAGAUCAGAAUGCUACGGUGAAUACGUUCCCGGGCCUUGUACACACCGCCCGUCACACCAUGGGAGUGGGUUGCAAAAGAAGUAGGUAGCUUAACCUUAGGGGGGGCGCUUACCACUUUGUGAUUCAUGACUGGGGUGAAGUCGUA